AGGAAAGAGAGGGAUUCGAC
rnacentral:tRNA from 2 species